AGCUGGUCGGAAGGUAGUGUGUUAUCUCACUUGAUUGUUCACAGUCAGUUGCAGAUUGAACUUGUUCUACUACCUUCCCCCCUCCUCACUACUGCACUUGACUAAUCUUUA
ensembl:misc_RNA Y_RNA Y RNA